GGGCGGUUGGCGCAGUGGUAGCGCACUUCCCUGACACGGAAGGGGUCACAAGUUCGAACCUUGUAUCGCCCA
rnacentral:tRNA from 52 species